GCGGUUUUUGAGGAUGUACUUUGUCCGCAUCAGAACGCCCUCCAGAAUCUGAUAAAUGAUGGAGUGGAAUCAAAGACUAGUC
rnacentral:telomerase_RNA from 1 species